AACUCUUAGCAGUGGAUCACUUGACUCAUGCUUCUAUGAAGAACGCAAGUAGCUGCGAGAAUAAUGUGAAUGGCAGGACACACUGAUCAUCAACACUUCCAACACACUUGGGGCCCCGGUUCUUCCCGCUACGCUUGUGUGAGCAUCG
ensembl:rRNA 5_8S_rRNA 5.8S ribosomal RNA